rnacentral:rRNA from 2 species
GACGUGGGGGGCGAGCGUUGUCCGGAAUUACUGGGCGUAAAGGGCGUGUAGGCGGCCUGCCAAGUCAGCUGUGAAAUUCCUCGGCUCAACCGGGGGUCUGCAGUUGAAACUGGUGGGCUUGAGUGCAGGAGAGGAGGGUGGAAUUCCUGGUGUAGCGGUGAAAUGCGUAGAUAUCAGGAGGAACACCGGUGGCGAAGGCGACCUUCUGGCCUGUUACUGACGCUGAGGCGCGAAAGCUAGGGGAGCAAAC